UACGAGAUACCCAGAAAGAAGACGAUUUGAUUUUCCGAGGCAUAUCUGAAAGAAUGGCUUCAAGACCCGUGGUUCAACAGCAAAAUAGAGUAGAUUUGCAGUUGAGGGAAUAAAGCAAAAGAACAUGGUGGCAGAGGGAAGGAACUGUCGGGAACUUGGGGAUAUUGGCAAUAUGGUUACCGUUCGAGGGGUUGAAGGCAAGCAAACCUGAAGCUGUGAUUGUAAUCAUCCCUGACACUAAAGAAGAGGCUGCUUGUGGACUGAACAUUAAAUUACCAAAGUAGAAGAUUGAAGAUAUUGAUGGUGGAGAUGAGCAAUUGUGGAGUAUGCAGAAAACAUUUACAAAUUUGGCUACAAGGAAGCUGAGGUACACAUCUUCUAUCAUUUAUACUCUUUCAUUAAUGCUUCUCUAAAUGUUAUACCAUUGCCUGAUUUUAAAAUUACUAUAUAAGGUUAGUGUUUACUGUAUAUGGCUAAAUCAAUAUCAAAUAGGGAGGUUUGUUAAUUGUUAG